rnacentral:rRNA from 1 species
GUUAAAAAGCUCGUAGUCGGAUUUUGGCUGAGAACGGUCGGUCCGCCGUUAGGUGUGCACUGACUGGUCUCAGCUUCCUGGUGAGGAGGAGUGCUUCAUCGCCACUUAGUCACCGUGGUUACUUUGAAAAAAUUAGAGUGUUCAAAGCGGGCUUACGCUUGAAUAUAUUAGCAUGGAAUAACACCAUAGGACUCCUGUCCUAUUUCGUUGGUCUCGGGACGGGAGUAAUGAUUAAGAGGAACAGUUGGGGGCAUUCGUAUUUCAUUGUCAGAGGUGAAAUUCUUGGAUUUAUGAAAGACGAACUUCUGCGAAAGCAUUUGCCAAGGAUGUUUUCAUUGAUCAAGAACGAAAGUUGGGGGCUCGAAGAUGAUUAGAUACCAUCCUAGUCUCAACCAUAAACGAUGCCGACUAGGGAUUGGCGGAUGUUAAUUGAUGACUUCGCCAGCACCUUAUGAGAAAUCAAAGUUUUUGGGUUCCGGGGGGAGUAUGGUCGCAAGGCUGAAACUUAAGGGAAUCGACGGAAGGGCACCACCAGGCGUGGAGCCUGCGGCUUAAUUUGACUCAACACGGGGAAAUUUACCAGGUCCAGACAUAGUAAGGAUUGACAGAUUGAGAGCUCU